rnacentral:rRNA from 1 species
GACGAACGCUGGCGGCGUGCUUAACACAUGCAAGUCGAGCGAUGAAGCUCCUUCGGGAGUGGAUUAGCGGCGGACGGGUGAGUAACACGUGGGUAACCUGCCUCAUAGAGGGGAAUAGCCUUCCGAAAGGAAGAUUAAUACCGCAUAAGAUUGUAGUACCGCAUGGUACAGCAAUUAAAGGAGCAAUCCGCUAUGAGAUGGACCCGCGUCGCAUUAGCUAGUUGGUGAGGUAACGGCUCACCAAGGCGACGAUGCGUAGCCGACCUGAGAGGGUGAUCGGCCACAUUGGGACUGAGACACGGUCCAGACUCCUACGGGAGGCAGCAGUGGGGAAUAUUGCACAAUGGGGGAAACCCUGAUGCAGCAACGCCGCGUGAGUGAUGACGGUCUUCGGAUUGUAAAACUCCGUCUUCAGGGACGAUAAUGACGGUACCUGAGGAGGAAGCCACGGCUAACUACGUGCCAGCAGCCGCCGCAG